rnacentral:rRNA from 1 species
AGAGUUUGAUCCUGGCUCAGGAUGAACGCUAGCGGCAGGCUUAACACAUGCAAGUCGAGGGGUAACAGGAAGAAGCUUGCUUUUUCGCUGACGACCGGCGCACGGGUGUAACGCGCGCGUAUAGAACCUACCUUUUACAGGGGAAUAGCCCAGAGAAAUUUGGAUUAAUGCCCCAUAGUAUUAUUGAAUGGCAUCAUUUUAUAAUUAAACAUUUAUGGGUAAAAGAUGGCUAUGCGUUCUAUUAGCUAGAUGGUAAGGUAACGGCUUACCAUGGCAACGAUAGAUAGGGGUCCUGAGAGGGAGAUCCCCCACACUGGUACUGAGACACGGACCAGACUCCUACGGGAGGCAGCAGUGAGGAAUAUUGGUCAAUGGGCGCAAGCCUGAACCAGCCAUCCCGCGUGUAGGAAGACUGCCCUAUGGGUUGUAAACUACUUUUAUAAAGGAAGAAACCCUUCUACGUGUAGAAGGCUGACUGUACUUUACGAAUAAGCACCGGCUAACUCCGUGCCAGCAGCCGCGGUAAUACGGAGGGUGCAAGCGUUAUCCGGAUUUAUUGGGUUUAAAGGGUGCGUAGGCGGGCCUUUAAGUCAGUGGUGAAAUCCUGCAGCUUAACUGUAGAACUGCCAUUGAUACUGAAGGCCUUGAGUAUAGUUGAGGUAGGCGGAAUGUGUAAUGUAGCGGUGAAAUGCUUAGAUAUUACACAGAACACCGAUUGCGUAGGCAGCUUACUAAGCUAUAACUGACGCUGAUGCACGAAAGCGUGGGGAGCGAACAGGAUUAGAUACCCUGGUAGUCCACGCCGUAAACGAUGAUCACUCGUUGUUGGCGAUACACAGUCAGCGACUGAGCGAAAGCAUUAAGUGAUCCACCUGGGGAGUACGAUCGCAAGAUUGAAACUCAAAGGAAUUGACGGGGGCCCGCACAAGCGGAGGAACAUGUGGUUUAAUUCGAUGAUACGCGAGGAACCUUACCUGGGCUUAAAUGUAGAGUGCAUAAGUGGGAAACUACUUUUUUCUUCGGAACUCUUUACAAGGUGCUGCAUGGUUGUCGUCAGCUCGUGCCGUGAGGUGUCGGGUUAAGUCCCAUAACGAGCGCAACCCCUAUCGUUAGUUGCCAGCGAGUCAAGUCGGGGACUCUAACGAGACUGCCGGUGUAAACCGCGAGGAAGGUGGGGAUGACGUCAAAUCAGCACGGCCCUUACGUCCAGGGCUACACACGUGUUACAAUGGCCGAUACAAAGGGCAGCUACCAGGUGACUGGAUGCUAAUCUCGAAAGUCGGUCUUAGUUCGGAUCGAAGUCUGCAACUCGACUUCGUGAAGCUGGAUUCGCUAGUAAUCGUAGAUCAGCAAUGCUACGGUGAAUACGUUCCCGGGCCUUGUACACACCGCCCGUCAAGCCAUGGAAGCUGGGGGUACCUGAAGUCUGUCACCGCAAGGAGCGGCCUAGGGUAAAACUAGUAACUGGGGCUAAGUCGCAACAAGGUA